UGGGGAAUAUUGCACAAUGGGCGCAAGCCUGAUGCAGCCAUGCCGCGUGUGUGAAGAAGGCCUUCGGGUUGUAAAGCACUUUCAGCGAGGAGGAAGGUGGUGAGCUUAAUACGCUCAUCAAUUGACGUUACUCGCAGAAGAAGCACCGGCUAACUCCGUGCCAGCAGCCGCGGUAAUACGGAGGGUGCAAGCGUUAAUCGGAAUUACUGGGCGUAAAGCGCACGCAGGCGGUUUGUUAAGUCAGAUGUGAAAUCCCCGGGCUCAACCUGGGAACUGCAUUUGAAACUGGCAAGCUAGAGUCUCGUAGAGGGGGGUAGAAUUCCAGGUGUAGCGGUGAAAUGCGUAGAGAUCUGGAGGAAUACCGGUGGCGAAGGCGGCCCCCUGGACGAAGACUGACGCUCAGGUGCGAAAAGCGUGGGG
rnacentral:rRNA from 1 species